UGGUUAGUGACUCAGUCUCUGAGAUCCCCCAAGGGUCCAGGUUAGUAGAUGCUGUUGAUCUUCCUGUGGAGUUCCUAUCCCUUUUGGGGCCCUCAAUCCUUCCCACAACUCUUCCAUAAGACUCCCUGAGUUCCUUCUAAUGUUUGGCUGUGGGUCUCUGCAUCUGUUUCAGUCAGCUGCUGAAUGGAGCCUUUCAGAGGACAGUAAUGCUAGGCUCCUGUCUGCAGCAUAACAGAAUAUAAUUAAUAGUAUCAGGAAUUGGUACUUGCCUAUGGGUUGAGAAACCACAAGGACCUUCAUAUGAGUCCCCAGAACCCAUGCAAAGCUAGGGUAACAGUGCAUAUCUGUAAAACCCCAGCAAAGGAAGUAGAGAUUGAAGAAUCCCCUGGCAUGUAGUAGGUAAGGACAAUAUCAAACAAAAGUGGAAAGAGGGGUCCAACAUCUGAGGUUGUUCUCUGACUUGUGCAAGUGCAUGACUGUACUAGUCCCCUGCAUCUUGCUCCCCUCUGUCUCUGUCUCUGUGUCUCUCUCUAUCUCUCUCUCAAUAUGUAAGUGGGAUGUCAUCUGUCAUUACAAAUUGAAGGAACAGAGAAGAGAAUUGAGUUAACUUGCUGGAAUGAGCAUCUACAGCACACCAAUGGAAAAGAGAUGCCUAGAUGGAACGAGAAGCAAGUUCAUUACUUAUGAAUUUAUAAAUUUAGAGAUUUGCACUUGCUUCUUUGGCCAAGCUGGUUCAAGUCAUCCUCCUGCCUUAGGGUUUUGAGUUUGCAAAACUACUUGAGGAUAUCAGACCCAACUCUCAAUAUCUUUCUAAGCCUUUUAUGAAAUAAUGAAGUACCACCCCAUCCACAUGACGAUACAGGGGAAGUGACUACAGCACAUUUCUUUAUAAAUGAAGUGGGAGAUGGAUUCCUCAUGAUUACUUCCUACAUGAAGGCUGGUGGGGGCCUGUGUGGUCAGUGAACAUGAUUCCUAAAUACAUAAAAUGAGACUGACACAAGACAGGUGUUCAGAAAUUUUCACCAAUUCCCAGCAGCUUCAUUCAGGCCUUUAUAUUGCAUUGCCACUGAAAGUUGUUAUUUCACAUUGCAUAUUCAUUCAUAGGAAGUGGGUGUUCCUAAGUCAAAUAGACUGUGAGAUUUAAGAGACUAGAACUGCCUCUUUUGGGCCCCAUCUAUAUCCUGAGGUCAGUUCUCUGUAUUAUCAAUAUGAUGUGACACAAGAUUGGUGUGAUGGUUUAUGUAUGCUUGGUCCAGAGAGUGGCACUAUUUAGGAGGUGUGGCCUCCUUGUCGGAGUAGGUUUGUCACUGUGGGUGUGGGCUUUAAGAUCCUCUUCCUAGCUACCUGGAAGCCAGCAUUAUGCUGGCAGCCUUCAGAUGAAGAUGUAAAACUCUUAGCUCCUUCUGCACUAUGCUUGCCUGGCUGCUGCCAUGUUCCUGCCUUGAUGAUAAUGGACUGAACCUCUGAACCUGUAAGCCAGGCCCAACAAAAUGUCUCGCUUAUUAGAGUUGUCUUUUCACAGCACUAAAACCCUAACUAAGACAAUUGGAAACAAGCAAGUCCAUAUAAAGAUCUCACAGAGUAAUUAGUUAAAGUAAGGUCAGUACUUUAUUCCCAUGUUCGCAAAUUAAAAGAAAGCCUAAGUUUUAAAAAGGAAACAAUGCACAUGGUUUUCAUGCUUUCGGAGUGGGUGGUGGUAGUGUACACUUUCAAUCCCAGCACUUGGGAGGCAGAGGCAGGCAGAUCUCUGAGUUCAAGGUCAGCCAAGGUCUACAGAAUGAGUUCCAGGACAGCCAAGGCUAAACAACGAAAACCAUGUCUCAAACAUAAAAACAAACAAACAAAAAAAAACCAAACCAAGCAAACAAAGAAGAAAGCACAAAAAAUUGCAACAUAAUAAGAAUGGGGAUUGGGAAAGAAAGACAUUCAAAGCUGGCAGUGGUGCUGCACAUCUUUAAUCCCAGCACUUGGGAGGCAGAGGCAGACAGAUUUCUGAGUUUCAGACCAGCCUGGUCUACAGAGUGAAUUCCAGGACAGCCAGGGCUAUACAGAGAAACCUUGUCUUGAAAAAAAAGAAAGAGAGAGACAAGAAAGAAAGAAAGAAAGAAAGAAAGAAAGAAAGAAAGAAAGAAAGAAAGAAAGAAAGAGAGAAAGAGAGAAAGAGAGAGGGAAAGAAAUGAAGAAAGGAGAAAGAGAAAGAGAGAAAGAAAGAAAGAAAGAAAGAAAGAAAGAAAGAAAGAAAGAAGGAAAGAAAGAAAGAAAGAAAAAAGAGAGGGAAAGAAAGAAACGAAGAAAGAAAGAAAGACAGACAAGAAAGAGAGAGAAAGAAAAGAAAGACAUUCAAGUGCCCAUGCUGGUGGUGCCAGAGUGCAGCAUGGCUAAGAUGGGGCAUGUGAGAUGGAGAGAUGGAAAAAAUGGAGUGUGCAGUGAGAGAUGAGAGAGAAUGGGAAGGUGAGGGGUUAGUACACUGUGAAGAAAGCUGGAACUGAAGAUUCGAUGGCAGUGAGGUACAGGCAGAUAUGAGGAGCCUACACAGACACCUGAGACCAUGGUGAGGUCCUGGUCCUGGCUGCUGCCAAGGACCAUGUCUGGGUCCAUGGUCCUGAUGCAGCUGGUGCCUGUGUCAAUAUCUGUGUCUCAAGUUACCACAAUAGGCCAAUCAGAUGUCUGUGGUCUGGGCUACCACUGGAGACCAUGUGGAUGUCUGAGAGCUAUGCUGCCUGGGGAGCAGCGGGGGGGGGGGGGGGGGGGAGCUGAUCUAAGUGGCCUACCAUGACACCAGAGGCCAUGAUGACACUCAGCCCCAUUCCUUGCUGCCAGGGAACAUGUCUGGGUCUGUGAUCCUAUUGCAGCUGGUGUCUGUGUUGAUGUCUCAGACCCACAUUACCACCAAAGGCCAUGUAGAUGUCCCUGGUCUGGACUGCUUCCUGAGGAACUAUGCUGAGCUGGCCCCACCCGUCACCAGCCACCACACUAGGGAGAACUGGCCUGGCUCUUCAUUUCCAGUGGGGUGGCCUGAGUGAGUGAAAGAUGCUCCCCACCCCCACUCCCUGCCCCACUUCUCAACUCUCCACCUAUGGUUGGUAGAAGGCUGACCCAGAGGUCAUGAGAGCAGAAGAGCUGGCCACACCCUUCACUGGCUGCAUCAUUCAGGAGAGUAACCCAGUAGAGAUGACCAUAAUGGCAGUGGUGCAGAUGAGCUGGCCUUGAGAGCAUGAGAACAGGAGGGCUGACUACCCUUGCCAUCUAAAGCAUUGGGUAAGCUAGCCUGGAUAGUGCUGGAGAGCUCACCCUAGUGGUGAUGGAGCAGGAGAACUGUCAGGCUGAGAAACUCAGCUACCAUCCAGGCCCAGAUCCAGGGCUUUGAAUUGGCUUACCCCAAUAUCUACCCCAUCUAUGAUCUGCUGGAGCAUGUGAAGGGGAAGAUGAAGUAGCUGUUUUGAACCCUGACCAACAGAUGGCGCUGAUUCCCAUACACUACAAACACAACACUCAGAUCCUGGAAGCUAAAAUGCCUGACCACAAACUAAGGAAACUUAAUUCAGGUUGGCAUUGAAUUUUAGCAGUCUGGGGGCAGUGUCAGGCAG
rnacentral:lncRNA from 1 species